rnacentral:rRNA from 1 species
GGGGGGGGGGGGGGGGGGGGCGGGGACAGGCAGGGCGAGCGGGCAGACGGGGAGGUGGCUCCUGUGACGGUAGCGGCGGACGGGGGGGUAACACGUGGAUAACCUACCUAUAAGACUGGGAUAACUUCGGGAAACCGGAGCUAAUACCGGAUAAUAUAUUGAACCGCAUGGUUCAAUAGUGAAAGACGGUUUUGCUGUCACUUAUAGCUGGAUCCGCGCCGCAUUAGCUAGUUGGUAAGGUAACGGCUUACCAAGGCAACGAUGCGUAGCCGACCUGAGCGGGUGAUCGGCCACAAUGGAACUGAGACACGGUCCAGACUCCUACGGGAGGCAGCAGUAGGGAAUCUUCCGCAAUGGGCGAAAGCCUGACGGAGCAACGCCGCGUGAGUGAUGAAGGUCUUCGGAUCGUAAAACUCUGUUAUUAGGGAAGAACAAAUGUGUAAGUAACUAUGCACGUCUUGACGGUACCUAAUCAGAAAGCCACGGCUAACUACGUG